CCUGUCCCAAGGCGAUCCCUCGGGAUUAGCCAUCACCAGGUUGUGCCCUCACGGAUAACAGGGCCUCUCGCUCGCGCAGCGCAACACCGAUCCUCGGAGCACAUACCCACGCGCAUCGGAGUGUAUACAUAUAUUCAAGGCCAUACAUUACAUCUCCCUUAACCUCACCAGAGCUUUGCUGAUUUGCAAGUUAGGGUGUCUGCAGGGAGUGACUCUCGCCUGUGCAAACACAGCAUUUGUCCCAGAUGGCAACAACCAAUAACGAUUUUCUCCUAACCAAAUUUUAAAGCGCGACAAAGGAUGCUGGAGCUGAUUGCGUCUGACGGCAGCACCUUGCGUUGCAGAGUUGCUUGAUAACGACGUUACACUAAGUGAUUUUUGCCUAUCGCCAGACCAUGCCGAGGACUUUCCUCCGCGUGCAAACAUAAAUCUCGCCAUGCAGGGAGAUGGUAGUCGCUCGUUCAUGAAGAGGAACUUUACUUGGGGGGGGACGGGGGGGAGAAAAAGAUUUACUGACAAAUAAUUGUCAUUUGCUAACCUUGUCGUGGCAAUCUUUAUUUUCUCUUUUUUCCGGAGGCGCUCUGAAUGUUGAAUGCCAGCAUCUGUUACAGACCGGAAAACAAGUAAACACUGAUAUUCCUGGUGGCUUUAAAAGAGCAUUUAACACUUAGCUUUCUACACUUGCCUUUACUAGGAAAAUUACUUCGGGAUGUGCUUCGAAUGCGUAUGAUGAUGAGUGUCUUGGAAAAAAUAAAAUAUAGAAAGCGGCCCCUUGCCACAGCCAGCCUGGAAGAAAUACGUGAGCCCUCCUGCCAGAUGUUGACAUUUUGAUUUGCGUGAAGGUAAACUUUUGAGUUGACAGCAUGUUUAAUUUUCUAAAACAUCCCUGAGAAAGAAGGUGCGCUCGCAGACAAUGACUUUGCAUCGUAAGCGAUUUCCAUCCGACCUGUAGCCUGGCAAACUAGUUCAGUGCAUCUUGAUUUCUGUUAUGUCUCUGUGCCUCUCCUCGGGUCGGUGCAAAGAGGGGGCAGCUCCCAGGGGAGCCACGGGGGCUGCCAGGAGGUGCGGGGGGAGCUGGAAGUCAGGGAAGGUGUUGAAUUAUUUCUCUGUGGCUCGUGUUGGGGCUCAUGGCUGGAGCCGGCCCCUCCUUGGGACCCUGGAGAACUUCCUACCUCUUCCAGGGGUGGAAAUAGAGCAAAGUGAGAGUGGCCUCUGCCCUCGUGGGGACAACGUUAGGGCUGUCCACACGGCUCACAAGCCUCCAGGCAUCCCCAGGCACAGAUCUGCCUCCCCGCUGCGGCGGGCAACACUAUUUUCUGGGUCUUGUUUCUGAGCUAAAAGAAGAUUUAGAUGUAGCAAGCUGCCAAAAAACGAGGGAGAGAAUUAGGUCCUAAGACAGGAGGAUAACUCUUUGCAAGUCACCUGUAAAUCCGCUGAGAGGAAAUGCUGUUGGUGACUGUAUCUUUGGGGUCUCUCCGGACUGCCUUGCUCAGCUUAUUCUAGCAUAUAAAGCAUGGCCAGACCCAAGAUGUCCUGCUGUAUUUCACCAGCCUCUCUGGUUUUCUGUCCCUGGAGAGGCAAGGAGAGCUUGCUUGCUUUUGCAAGGGGGCUUGAGAGUGCCCGUAGAUACAGUGAGGCUCCUGUACGUUGAGGUGUCCUGGCGCUAGGGACCCAAAGCGGGACAAUAUGCCAGGGACAGCAUCACAAGUGCCAAAUUAAGGGGAAUAAUUGUUUCCCUUGACCUGCCAGCUCUGCUCUGGCUAAUGGAGCCUGGUGUGCAGUUGGCCUUCAUGGCCCGAGGGAUGCUCUGCUGCUGUUCGGCCCGUGCCCCCUGCACAUUCAGCAGUGCGAGGAGCAAAGCACCUGCUUGCAGGAGCAAGCGAGCAUGUUAUUCAGAAAUACGCUUUGCAUUUGUAUGGGGCCAGCAUUUAAAAAACGACUGAGUCAGGACAAACAUGCAAUAUGUGAUGGGCCCUGCUGUAUCUAACAGGCAGGGAAAUGGCUGCGCUCCCUGGACCAGCAUUUCUGGACAGCAGAACUGCUUCUCUGACAUGUUCUUCAACGACAGCUGUGAUGCUCCGUCACGGGGGCUAGCGAGAAGUGCUGGUACCGUGCACGCCGGCAGAUCCCCGCAGUCACAGGACGCCAGGAACUGGGAAUCCGGCAGGGCUCCAGCGAGCACCCCUGCGGGAAGGCCCCCUCGGCAGCACGUCCCAGCGCCGCCUCGGCCCCGCGCUUCUGAAGUUCUUCGAGAGCUGCAGAGGGAAGACGCGACUGAAAUGCAAAGUGCUAUCAUCGCCGUUUUAGCCUCAGCUGAAAUGCGCUACCUAAGUGCAAAUUGCUGUUAUAAAUCAUAAACAUCAAAAGGCCAUAAGUGCCUAAUAAUGGCCUAAGUGGCUAAUUUGUUUUAUGUGCUACUGGAAGAAGCACUGUAAAGAUGUGGAACAAAAAAAAAUUUCCCCCAUUGCGGUUUGGCCUCUGCUACCAAGAAAGGCUGCAAAGGGGGUGGGAGCGAGAUGCUGCUUUGCUAGAUAUGCAAGAGCGUUUCCUUGCAAAGCCGGUAAUUAAAAACGCAGCGCCAAAGCCGGCAAGAGCCCGCUCCCCGUGGGAGGAGGAGGAGGCCGGCACUGGGGAGAGAGGAUGUCCGGGGCGGGAGACGCCGAGUGGGGCAGAUGUCUAGGGCCAGGGCUUGAACGGGGAGCGGGUUAUUAGUGGGAAAAGCCAAGGUGAUGGUGGUAUGGCAGCUGGAGCUGGUGGGCUCCAGCACCGUCCCCCGGGGAGGUGCAAACGCGCCUGCGGAAACCGCUGCCCCGGCUCACAGCUCCCACCGGCAUCGCUGCAAGCUGGGCACCACGGGAAGCCACUGCCUCUCCGAGCACCCAGGAGGCAAAGAGCAAAAAUAGCAGCCCCAGCAGGGCUGCCAGGACCCCUCCAGCCUGGUCCGGCUUUCCUGAGUCACCGCUUUAACGCAGCAUCUCCGGUUCCCACCCGAACUGCAGCUCUGUGCCCUCGCUCCAACUUUUAAUUGCUUUGGGCCUUUUGGGGUUGUGCAGUGCUUUCAAGGCUCUUUCUGGCUGGCAGCACCUGUGAAACCAGCCUUGGAGAACCAUAAAUACCAUAAUCCAGCCCUUCUGUGCCCUGCAGAUAUGUUCUUAGCGUGCAACUAUUAUGCUCGCAGGGUCAGGGCUGCCUUUCCAUGCUGCUCGCGCCGGGAAGGCUCAGCGCAUCGCACCCCACGGCGCGGCUGCUGCGGCUCCGAGAGGGGACGUGGCGUGCUGAAUCCCGCGGGUCCGCGGCUUUCCUCCCCGACCUGCGUCAACGCUCAGCAUCCGCACAGCCCCGCGUGGUGAAGUGGGUUUGAAGACCCCACCAGGGUGGAAAGCGCUCUGCCCAAGGACAUCUGGUAGCCGCCUGCCACCACGGUGUGCACAGAUAAUUACCAGGGCUGAACAAAGCCGCUCGUUGCCGUUAACCCACCGAGGAAAGUCCAGUGCAAUCAAAGCCGUCUGGGUUUCCAGUCUGCAAAUGCAUGGGUGUUUGCAAGCAAAUUCGGUGCAGCAGCAGCAUCCCAGCAAGCACAGAGGAGAUGCUAAAUGGAUCCAGUCUGUGGGCCAGGAUCCCUCCAUGACCCCGUCAGCGCUGACAUGGGCUGGGCAGGGCGGGUGAUGGCUCCCAGGGCCAGCCUGUGCCCUGGUAUCUAUUUUCUGUAGAUAUUGUGGCUUUAAUUGUGUGCUGGGUGGCAGAGCAAGCAUGGGGGGUGGGUGGGGAGGAUCUCAGGCAAUGGCAAGGAAGGGGCACGUCAUGCUGUAAGUCACCACGGGCGGUUUUCACAACCGGCCCCGAUCCAGGGCCAGCUUCUUCCUGUUGCAGGUGUCUCUCUGCAGCAGUCGUUGCUCGGGACUGUCCACCAACACAGCUCCAGCUUCCCCUUCUGCCUGUCACAUGAACUCAAGGACACCGAAAUCCAAAGCAAGGCUCUGCUCCAGGAUAGACCUAUGCCCCCGACAUCCAGCACUAAAGAAAAUCGAUGGUUCACUCCAGCACAUGAAAAACUGCUCGUGCCAGUCAGAGCCUUGGAUGCAGUGGGACUAGAGGGGUCCUGCUAUGGAUGGUGCUGCUACUUUCUCUUCAUCUUGCUUCUGCCUGCCAUCAGCGCUGUCACUACGGGAUGAAGCCCUGAAUAAUGAGUACAGAGGAGCUCUCGUUUCACAAAACCGCCAAGGAUCUGCUGGAAGACCAUUUACAAGCCCAGAAGACAUGAAAGCAGCAGACAACAUUGCUGCGCACACAGAAAGCAGGUAUAACAUCAAGAGAAGCACUACAGCCCCAAUUUCACAGGCAGGGAAUUGAGGCAGAAUGGGAGAAAUCCUGAUGUUAGGUCAAAGCUGAAGGCAAGAAGAGUUUAGUGGGCUGAGAAUUUCAGUCUGAGAGACGAGGGCCAGUGUUUCCCUACACCGAGCGGUGGAUGGCAGAGAGAGUUUGGCUCCGAGUCAAGCGCCAGAUGAAACUCCCAUGGUUUCAAGCGAGUUCCUGGUAUAGAUGCUGAGCUCUCUGGAAAACCCAGCUCUCCCACUGGCACGGGGUACUGCUGGGUGCCGAACUCCUCUAAGGAUCUGGCAUAACGCCAGCUGAGCUUCUGGAAAUCAGCUCUCCAUGCAGGGGGCUGACUAUCUGAGAGCAAAGUCCUGAGUUUCUCUGACUUUCUCUACUCUCCCCUCAAUACACUUUGCUGAUGGCCAGUUAGGGAACUGGUGGUCGAGCACCGAACCGGAGCCAGAUGCUGAGUGCUCCUGUCCAGAGGGGUCACCUAAAUGACAGAAAGGAUCCCCGCACCGCCUCUGGCGCAGAGUUCAGAGCUCUAAAGCCUAGUGUAGCCCCAGGGGAUGCUCACACAGAAGCACCAGAGUUCACACCUCCAUUGGGCUUCUCAGCCCAGAUGGACACAUGCAGGACUCCAAACCACAGAGCAUGCAAGGAAAUGUGUGCUUUCAUCUGAGAGCAAACACUUGGUAGUGACUUGAUAAAAUGCUUGAGAGGCCAAAUAAAAAAAAAAGAAAAAAAGAAACUUGAGUGGUAGCUGCCCCAAGUGGACCUCAGAAGCAACUCGAAUAACACUGGAAGGAAAAGAAGAGAUGCACAUGGUUAGAAAAGCAACUGUCAUUUAUUAUGUUUAUUCACAGUAGCGACACUGCAAGCCUACUCUCUGUCUCCAGUAAAGAACAGGCGGCCAACUUUUGCAUGAGUUAGUAGCAGGGUAUGAACGUGCCGUCUUCGGCAUCACACCUCGUCCACCUAACGCACCAGAGGAACUCGCCGGCUCAUCGGUGUAGCGGACUGCUCUCCGUUACUUUGACAGCCGCUGGAGAGAGAAACAUGACAAACGCUCAGCCAGCGACUGGCCUUGAGUGAGGGAGCAGAACGCUUCACCUCCUCGAGGUUUAGCUGUGCAACUCGGAAAUCACAGCACAACAUAAACCCCUGUGAAACUUUUCUUCAAACAAGGCUAUUCCUGCUGUUUUCUUCCAAGCCUUUCUCUGCUCCAGGCUCUUUAAAGGAGCCAGGCCACCCCAGCGCCCUGCUGCAGGUCGGGGUUAAAAAGCCCCACCUGUGAGCAUGGGAGAGCUGAAAAGCAGGGUCUCCCCAGAGGGUCCUGCUGCUCUAAGCAUCUGUCCAAGCAGCAAAGAUCCUUUGUGUGUGCUCUUCAAGGGAGGCAGUAUUGGCUAUUAAGUAAAGCAACUGGAAAGCUUGAAAAGCAACUGGAAAGCUUGAGAUUGCAGUUCUACAAAUCUGAAAGAGCAUGUAUUCCUGUAUUUUAUGUCAUUUUACUACUCUUAGUUCCUCUAGGAACAUCAUCUUCCUAGAUUUUGAAAAUACUGUCUUCCGUCACAGUUUAAUUAAUCUCGCACUCUCAGGGGCUAUAAUUUUGACUGUCUAAAAUGUACGAUACUGUUCUUGGAAAUAAUUUUAGGGCUCACUAUAUUAUCGCUGUCUCCUGAUUUCACAUCAUCAUUGUUUAUUACAUAAAUAAAAGUCCUGUCUUGGCUUGCCCUAAAUUCUGGUUACUUCAAGACUGGUCAUUUUCUCUGGAAUUUUAUUGAUUUAUCUCCAUUGCUAUAGCACCCCUAAACUCUCGAGAAGGUCAGCUCAGUGCCCAGGAGCAUCCAACUCUUUAGAGGAACAAAAUUCCUCUACUGAACCAUUUUGGGAGUGUUGUAGGCUAUCGUGGCAACCCCAGUCAUUCCAGUGCAUUUGACAUACGGGGAAAAUGGGGGGGUCUGCUAUGUUGUGCAAGGCAGUCCUAAUAAUGAAGUUCCUUUCAUUUUGCUGCAAGAAAAAAAAUGGGCAGAAGAAUCUUUCCUACUAUGGGAAAAAAACGAUAACUUAGUCUAGAUGAGCUACCAAAAAUGGAGCCUCACUUACACCUUAUUGUUGGAGAAACAGUCCCAGAAAAACAGUGCUUUCUACAUGGAAAGCAAUGUCUGAAGUAGUUCUGAAAGCGCUUCCUGGCAAAAUGCAACAUCUGACACUCUGUCUGUGAAGGUCUGAAUAAAGAAAAUGGAAAAAAUACAGAAUAAUCCAUGCUUAAUAUAGAUCUUCAGUAUCUUUUGCAGCUCCAUGCUGUAGACUGAGAUGCAUGUGGUGCCUAAACAGCUCUUCACUCUUAUUUGUAUGAUGAUCACAGUGUAUCCUCCCCAAAUUUGCACCUUACACUAUGAAUACAGAAUUAAUUUUCUGAGCCUCAACAUAAGUAAAUUAACUUCAUAUCAAUUUUAAAAAUCAGUCUUUUAAAAAAAGGAGACAGAAUCUUAAUAAUGAGAGAGAGAUUUCAUACCCUCAAAACUGCGGAGUCCAAAUUUUCCCCAAAUCAAGCAAAUAGCCAGCAGCAUUACAAGACCAAUUGGUGAAAACCAUGUUAAAUAACUUGCUGUGAAAGGAUGUUAUUUGUAUCCUAUAUACUCUUAAAACAUUUUUUUCAAAUCCAUGAAGGCUAAUGUCUUUUUUUUGUUAUUUUUUUACAAGCUGAGAUUACUAAAUAGCCACUUGUCUUCAGCUGCAGAGACUCUAGAGAUGCUUUCAGACACCAGAGAUGGAGCUGAAAGGAGGUCCCAGCACUCAGCUGCCAGAAUACCAUUAGUGCGACCAGAGUGAAAACAAAAGAAAGGACUUGGUGGGCGUUCUGGUAAGCUGAUAAGAUAUCUAGGCUAUAUAUGUUUAAGCAUGGAAACAAACGCACAUAUUAAAUACAAACAUGGGAAGAAGAGAAGAGAAAUCACUGAAAUGUAAGUGUGUGAAAUGCGAAAAGCAGAAAGGAAAAUUGUAAAAUCAAUAUAAAGGGAAAUGAAAAGAGAAUUGAGGAUCAACUGAAAGCAAAUAGAAAGCAAGAGGGAAGAAAAAAAACCCAACAGUCAACAAAUUGGGAUCUUGAUGAGAUAACACUGUCAGGCCAGCGAGUCAUGCUCUGAUUUUACAGUUGGCUGAAAUAAUAAAGCCCUAUUAAGUUAAGAUGUUCAGAAAAGGUAUUUAAUACUUGAAGUGUGUCUGGCCUUUCCCGGCUGCGGUCCGCUGUGUGGUCCCAGAGCGUGGCAGUGGGUGCAGUCCCAGCCGCCAGCAGGGCCACGGGGCCGGAGGGAGUAGGACGUGGUUCUCCAGCAGCCCUGCGAAAGGUGUGUGUCUAGAUCCGGUCCGUGAGCCACCCAAACGUCCUAACUGUCUAAGGUGUGCUGUGAAAGACUGUUCCAUCCUUUGAGGCUGCUC